GGAGGGAGGGAGACGUGGAUGGACAUGCUUCAAUAAUAUCAGUGCGAAAGCUUUGUGAGCAGUGAUGUCAGUAACUCUAAUCUCUCCGAUUCUUUCAGUAAUAACUAAUCUAAUGCCUCAUUUCUAAUCCAGUAAUCAGAUUAGAGUUAUCCAAGUCUACUAUCGUUAUCCUUUUACUUGUUUCUUUCAUCUUGUGCCUCAAGGAGAGAUGUCUCAUGUUUAACACCAGGCAGCAACACAAACGUAAACAAUGGAGGGAGGAGAGAGAUUAGCGUUUACUUUGUGUCAGCUACCGAUGACAAUAUCAAGGCAUGUUGUCGACAAAGUGUUGCUGUAACACCCUUGAAUGCAGAGGAGACAGAAUAACGAGACUGAUUUCCUCUUCUUCUCUCAUGCAGCAGUUUAAUGCAAUAAGGAGAGAGGGCGAAAGCCCCCUAGUGGAGGAUGGAGCUACUACCAGUCGAUCCCAGAAUAGGCUUAUCAACUGAUUGCUGAUGUACAUAGCCCGAUUUCAUUUAAUAAAAUGACAUAAACAUGAAAAAAAACAACAACUUUUUUUUAGCAAUUUUUUUUACUGCAUGUACAUUUUGGGGGAAGGAGUUCUGUUGACUAAUAUGAAGUCAUAUUUAUUGUAAACCAUUUUUACAAUAAAAUGUAAGAGUUUAUUUCAUUUCAACUCUGAAAUGAAAUAACUUUUUACUACUGCUUCUGAGGGUAUAAUAAUCAUUUUAAAACUUUCCAAACCAUUUAACUACAAAAAUUCUACAUCAAGAACAACAGCAUUACAAUAUUUGAAAAAAACAUUAGGGAUCGCAGCUUGGUACAGUGAAGCUGACGAAGCAAGCUCCACCAGGUGGUGUGUAGCAGAGAGAUGCAACUAAAUGGCAGAAGGUCCCCCAACACCAAAACAACAAAAACUGAACUUCAGUGUAAAACCAGUAAGAGGAUAGGACUUGUAACGAACGUAGUCACAUGGGCUUUUUUUUUGUACAUAUUUUGGGGGGUACCGUUUGAUUGGUGGCGUCAUCUGACCACCUCAGUAAUUAGGUCGUCACUUGGUCACGUGAUGCUUUUGAUAGAGAACUUUAAGUUUCGUUUUAUACUCAGUUGGUGUGCGCAAGCGGCAACAAGAAAGACAAAGAACUGAAAUAAGGAAGAAAUGGACUUCUAGCAACUCCUAACCUUCUGGUUGGAGGGGCAUACGUGUUCACGGUGGUCUUGGACGUUUAUGCGGCAAAAAUUCAUUUAAUAAAACGUUUGAAACCAUCA